GCCGUGGGCCACCCGGCGUUCAGCUAGUCGAUCCGCUGUGGUGUCAGGCCUUCUGCCCGAGCUCUCGCACCUUCUGGCAGGGCAUCUGACUUGGAUCGGGAGGAGAGACGAUGGUAACUCAAGGGAAUAAGUAGAUGUAGAGAAGAGCUCUGGUGGUGCAUCAGAUUUACCCCCCCACACGACGCCACAAGCCAAUGAAAAGGGAACAGAGAGCAACGGCUGACAAGGGUUAAGUUUCAAUGGGGAAGAAGAAGGAAGAACACUGAAGCCACCCUGGCUGAGUGACCAGAGGAAUGCAAGCUCCAGGACAAGGACCUUCCAAGGGCUCCCCCUUGCCUAUGAAGAGGAACUAAAACUCCAAAAAGGCUCUUCAUGCUCUGACUCGGCCUCUCCAGUCAACCUAAUCUCAGCCCACUCCAGUUCCCUGCAAUGCCUGCCCUGACACUGCCAGGCAGUCUCCUGGCUCCAGCAGUUUGUUCUUCCUGUCAUCUCUAACUGAAACGGCUAUUCUCUCUCAUUCCUGUGUCUCCAAAUCUUCUCCAUCUUCAAGGCCCAGUCAAAUAAAGCCUUCCCCAUUCACCCUAGCCAGGAAAGUGUGUGCUCCCAUGGAAUUUGUACCUGUGUAACAGCAAGUCUCAUGGUGUAUCUUACACUGCAGCGAUUAUGUUGUUUUGUGCCCUUUGCUGGACUCCAGACUGGCAGCUGUCCUAGC